AUACUUACCUAGCAGGGGAGAUACAUGCACAGGAAGGUGGUUUUCCCAGGAUGAGGCUUAUAAAUUGCUCUCAGAUACACUAACUACUAAUAAUUCCCUAAAUGUGGGGAACUCAAUCCCAUACUUUGUGGUAGUGGGGGACUGCAUUCACACUUUCCCCUG